rnacentral:rRNA from 1 species
UUAAGCGACUAAGCGUACACGGUGGAUGCCCUGGCAGUCAGAGGCGAUGAAGGACGUGCUAAUCUGCGAAAAGCGUCGGUAAGGUGAUAUGAACCGUUAUAGCCGGCGAUGUCCGAAUGGGGAAACCCAGUGUGAUUCGUCACACUAUCGUUAACUGAAUACAUAGGUUAACGAGGCGAACCGGGGGAACUGAAACAUCUAAGUACCCCGAGGAAAAGAAAUCAACCGAGAUUCCCCCAGUAGCGGCGAGCGAACGGGGAGCAGCCCAGAGUCUGAAUCAGCUUGUGUGUUAGUGGAACGGUCUGGAAAGUCCGACGGUACAGGGUGAUAGUCCCGUACACCAAAAUGCACAGGCUGUGAACUCGAAGAGUAGGGCGGGACACGUGGUAUCCUGUCUGAAUAUGGGGGGACCAUCCUCCAAGGCUAAAUACUCCUGACUGACCGAUAGUGAACCAGUACCGUGAGGGAAAGGCGAAAAGAACCCCGGCGAGGGGAGUGAAAAAGAACCUGAAACCGUGUACGUACAAGCAGUGGGAGCACCUUCGGGUGUGACUGCGUACCUUUUGUAUAAUGGGUCAGCGACUUAUAUUCUGUAGCAAGGUUAACCGUAUAGGGGAGCCGCAGGGAAACCGAGUCUUAACUGGGCGUUAAGUUGCAGGGUAUAGACCCGAAACCCGGUGAUCUAGCCAUGGGCAGGUUGAAGGUUGGGUAACACUAACUGGAGGACCGAACCGACUAAUGUUGAAAAAUUAGCGGAUGACUUGUGGCUGGGGGUGAAAGGCCAAUCAAACCGGGAGAUAGCUGGUUCUCCCCGAAAGCUAUUUAGGUAGCGCCUCGUGAACUCAUCUUCGGGGGUAGAGCACUGUUUCGGCUAGGGGGUCAUCCCGACUUACCAACCCGAUGCAAACUACGAAUACCGAAGAAUGUUAUCACGGGAGACACACGGCGGGUGCUAACGUCCGUCGUGAAGAGGGAAACAACCCAGACCGCCAGCUAAGGUCCCAAAGUCAUGGUUAAGUGGGAAACGAUGUGGGAAGGCACAGACAGCCAGGAUGUUGGCUUAGAAGCAGCCAUCAUUUAAAGAAAGCGUAAUAGCUCACUGGUCGAGUCGGCCUGCGCGGAAGAUGUAACGGGGCUAAACCAUGCACCGAAGCUGCGGCAGCGACACUAUGUGUUGUUGGGUAGGGGAGCGUUCUGUAAGCCUGCGAAGGUGACCUGUGAGGGUUGCUGGAGGUAUCAGAAGUGCGAAUGCUGACAUAAGUAACGAUAAAGCGGGUGAAAAGCCCGCUCGCCGGAAGACCAAGGGUUCCUGUCCAACGUUAAUCGGGGCAGGGUGAGUCGACCCCUAAGGCGAGGCCGAAAGGCGUAGUCGAUGGGAAACAGGUUAAUAUUCCUGUACUUGGUGUUACUGCGAAGGGGGGACGGAGAAGGCUAUGUUAGCCGGGCGACGGUUGUCCCGGUUUAAGCAUGUAGGCUGAUUGUCCAGGCAAAUCCGGAUAAUCAAGGCUGAGGUGUGAUGACGAGGCACUACGGUGCUGAAGUAACAAAUGCCCUGCUUCCAGGAAAAGCCUCUAAGCAUCAGGUAACAUCAAAUCGUACCCCAAACCGACACAGGUGGUCAGGUAGAGAAUACCAAGGCGCUUGAGAGAACUCGGGUGAAGGAACUAGGCAAAAUGGUGCCGUAACUUCGGGAGAAGGCACGCUGGUGUGUAGGUGAAGCCCCUGCGGGUGGAGCUGAGACCAGUCGAAGAUACCAGCUGGCUGCAACUGUUUAUUAAAAACACAGCACUGUGCAAACACGAAAGUGGACGUAUACGGUGUGACGCCUGCCCGGUGCCGGAAGGUUAAUUGAUGGGGUUAUCCGUAAGGAGAAGCUCUUGAUCGAAGCCCCGGUAAACGGCGGCCGUAACUAUAACGGUCCUAAGGUAGCGAAAUUCCUUGUCGGGUAAGUUCCGACCUGCACGAAUGGCGUAAUGAUGGCCAGGCUGUCUCCACCCGAGACUCAGUGAAAUUGAACUCGCUGUGAAGAUGCAGUGUACCCGCGGCAAGACGGAAAGACCCCGUGAACCUUUACUAUAGCUUGACACUGAACAUUGAGCCUUGAUGUGUAGGAUAGGUGGGAGGCUUUGAAGCGUGGACGCCAGUCUGCGUGGAGCCAACCUUGAAAUACCACCCUUUAAUGUUUGAUGUUCUAACGUUGGCCCCUGACCGGGGUUGCGGACAGUGUCUGGUGGGUAGUUUGACUGGGGCGGUCUCCUCCCAAAGCGUAACGGAGGAGCACGAAGGUUAGCUAAUCCUGGUCGGACAUCAGGAGGUUAGUGCAAUGGCAUAAGCUAGCUUGACUGCGAGCGUGACGGCGCGAGCAGGUGCGAAAGCAGGUCAUAGUGAUCCGGUGGUUCUGAAUGGAAGGGCCAUCGCUCAACGGAUAAAAGGUACUCCGGGGAUAACAGGCUGAUACCGCCCAAGAGUUCAUAUCGACGGCGGUGUUUGGCACCUCGAUGUCGGCUCAUCACAUCCUGGGGCUGAAGUAGGUCCCAAGGGUAUGGCUGUUCGCCAUUUAAAGUGGUACGCGAGCUGGGUUUAGAACGUCGUGAGACAGUUCGGUCCCUAUCUGCCGUGGGCGCUGGAGAAUUGAGGGGGGCUGCUCCUAGUACGAGAGGACCGGAGUGGACGCAUCACUGGUGUUCGGGUUGUCAUGCCAAUGGCACUGCCCGGUAGCUAAAUGCGGAAGAGAUAAGUGCUGAAAGCAUCUAAGCACGAAACUUGCCCCGAGAUGAGUUCUCCCUGAGACUUUAAGUCUCCUGAAGGAACGUUGAAGACGACGACGUUGAUAGGCCGGGUGUGUAAGCGCAGCGAUGCGUUGAGCUAACCGGUACUAAUGAACCGUGAGGCUUAACCUU